rnacentral:misc_RNA from 1 species
AGCAGGUAUGUUGUGAUUAUGGUUUUGGGUUUCUUUCAUUCUCCCAAAUUCUUUCCCAAUUUCUUUGGAUUUCUUGUUUUGUUUUUUAUUUGUGCUCCAGAAAAUUGAUCUCAUUCAGUUUUUGAUCUUUGUUUUGCAAUUUUUUAGCUUAGUUUUUCUGUUUUAAUUACUAUGAUCAUGAUCUGGGCUGUAUUAGUGCUGAAUUUUGUUUGACGUGAGCUUCAUUACUUAAGGGAAAAGAUUGGAUUUUGUUGAUUUAGAGGUUUUUGACUUGGUGGAUCGAUGGUUUUAUGGUUGCGAUGUGAAUUAGGUUUCUGAAUUCAAAUGGGUUUUGCGUUUUUUUAUGACUUCAAGCUCUAUGAAUCACAGUAAUCGUUUAAUAGCUUUUGUUAAACUUUUUGUGUUUGAAAAGCAGUAAUUUUGAUUUUGUAGAAUGUAGGUUUUUCUUAGGAGUCCAUGUCCAUCUAUAGAUGUCUCAUUUGAGGAAUCAAUUACUGUUAGAGAUUCAGGGAGCCUUAUCUAAUCUUCACUGUAUAUGAAGCAGCCUUAAUUUAAUUUCUUUUCUUCUUCUUUUGGAUUCCCAAAUUCUGGCUUGAUGUUACCAGAUAGUCAGAUGGGUUAUUAUUCUCUUUUGUGCUUAUUGAAUCCUUUGAAAUCUCCUGAAACAAUCUAUACACUGUUGCUUACAUCAGUUUUGAUAUCUACUGGCUCGCUUCUAUCCGUGUACGUCAUCAAGUAUAUUUAAUCUUUAAGAUUUUAAGCUUGAACUGCAACUGGCAAAUAUGAGCUGGGCUUGUUUUGACCUUUAUGUAUAUUUGUUUUCUAUUGUGACUGAAGAUUAGAUAAGGUGAUUUUUCUGCCUUACCAUUGGAUCAAUACCUGCUGAUUUUUAUCUUGGAAUUAUUUUGUCAAUGUGUUGAAUUUUGGUUUCCUAUCCGGCAUUUUGGAUUUCAUAUCCAUAACAUUAAGAGCUUUCUGUGCAGGCAAACUUGCUUCCUGUUAA